rnacentral:rRNA from 1 species
AGUGAGCGCUGGCGGUAGGCCUAACACAUGCAAGUCGAACGGCAGCACAGUAAGAGCUUGCUCUUACGGGUGGCGAGUGGCGGACGGGUGAGGAAUACAUCGGAAUCUACUUUUUCGUGGGGGAUAACGUAGGGAAACUUACGCUAAUACCGCAUACGACCUACGGGUGAAAGCAGGGGAUCUUCGGACCUUGCGCGAUUGAGUGAGCCGAUGUCGGAUUAGCUAGUUGGCGGGGUAAAGGCCCACCAAGGCGACGAUCCGUAGCUGGUCUGAGAGGAUGAUCAGCCACACUGGAACUGAGACACGGUCCAGACUCCUACGGGAGGCAGCAGUGGGGAAUAUUGGACAAUGGGCGCAAGCCUGAUCCAGCCAUACCGCGUGGGUGAAGAAGGCCUUCGGGUUGUAAAGCCCUUUUGUUGGGAAAGAAAAGCAGCAGGUUAAUACCCCGCUGUUCUGACGGUACCCAAAGAAUAAGCACCGGCUAACCUCGUG